rnacentral:rRNA from 1 species
GGGUUGUGAGGUUAAGCGACUAAGCGUACACGGUGGAUGCCCUGGCAGUCAGAGGCGAUGAAGGACGUGCUAAUCUGCGAUAAGCGUCGGUAAGGUGAUAUGAACCGUUAUAACCGGCGAUUUCCGAAUGGGGAAACCCAGUGUGAUUCGUCACACUAUCAUUAACUGAAUCCAUAGGUUAAUGAGGCGAACCGGGGGAACUGAAACAUCUAAGUACCCCGAGGAAAAGAAAUCAACCGAGAUUCCCCCAGUAGCGGCGAGCGAACGGGGAGCAGCCCAGAGCCUGAAUCAGUGUGUGUGUUAGUGGAAGCGUCUGGAAAGGCGUGCGAUACAGGGUGACAGCCCCGUACACAAAAAUGCACAUACUGUGAGCUCGAUGAGUAGGGCGGGACACGUGGUAUCCUGUCUGAAUAUGGGGGGACCAUCCUCCAAGGCUAAAUACUCCUGACUGACCGAUAGUGAACCAGUACCGUGAGGGAAAGGCGAAAAGAACCCCGGCGAGGGGAGUGAAAAAGAACCUGAAACCGUGUACGUACAAGCAGUGGGAGCACAGAGCAAUCUGUGUGACUGCGUACCUUUUGUAUAAUGGGUCAGCGACUUAUAUUCUGUAGCAAGGUUAACCGAAUAGGGGAGCCGAAGGGAAACCGAGUCUUAACUGGGCGUUAAGUUGCAGGGUAUAGACCCGAAACCCGGUGAUCUAGCCAUGGGCAGGUUGAAGGUUGGGUAACACUAACUGGAGGACCGAACCGACUAAUGUUGAAAAAUUAGCGGAUGACUUGUGGCUGGGGGUGAAAGGCCAAUCAAACCGGGAGAUAGCUGGUUCUCCCCGAAAGCUAUUUAGGUAGCGCCUCGUGAAUUCAUCUCCGGGGGUAGAGCACUGUUUCGGCAAGGGGGUCAUCCCGACUUACCAACCCGAUGCAAACUGCGAAUACCGGAGAAUGUUAUCACGGGAGACACACGGCGGGUGCUAACGUCCGUCGUGAAGAGGGAAACAACCCAGACCGCCAGCUAAGGUCCCAAAGUCAUGGUUAAGUGGGAAACGAUGUGGGAAGGCCCAGACAGCCAGGAUGUUGGCUUAGAAGCAGCCAUCAUUUAAAGAAAGCGUAAUAGCUCACUGGUCGAGUCGGCCUGCGCGGAAGAUGUAACGGGGCUAAACCAUGCACCGAAGCUGCGGCAGCGACGCUUAUGCGUUGUUGGGUAGGGGAGCGUUCUGUAAGCCUGCGAAGGUGUGCUGUGAGGCAUGCUGGAGGUAUCAGAAGUGCGAAUGCUGACAUAAGUAACGAUAAAGCGGGUGAAAAGCCCGCUCGCCGGAAGACCAAGGGUUCCUGUCCAACGUUAAUCGGGGCAGGGUGAGUCGACCCCUAAGGCGAGGCCGAAAGGCGUAGUCGAUGGGAAACAGGUUAAUAUUCCUGUACUUGGUGUUACUGCGAAGGGGGGACGGAGAAGGCUAUGUUGGCCGGGCGACGGUUGUCCCGGUUUAAGCGUGUAGGCUGGUUUUCCAGGCAAAUCCGGAAAAUCAAGGCUGAGGCGUGAUGACGAGGCACUACGGUGCUGAAGCAACAAAUGCCCUGCUUCCAGGAAAAGCCUCUAAGCAUCAGGUAACAUCAAAUCGUACCCCAAACCGACACAGGUGGUCAGGUAGAGAAUACCAAGGCGCUUGAGAGAACUCGGGUGAAGGAACUAGGCAAAAUGGUGCCGUAACUUCGGGAGAAGGCACGCUGAUAUGUAGGUGAAGUCCCUCGCGGAUGGAGCUGAAAUCAGUCGAAGAUACCAGCUGGCUGCAACUGUUUAUUAAAAACACAGCACUGUGCAAACACGAAAGUGGACGUAUACGGUGUGACGCCUGCCCGGUGCCGGAAGGUUAAUUGAUGGGGUCAGCGCAAGCGAAGCUCUUGAUCGAAGCCCCGGUAAACGGCGGCCGUAACUAUAACGGUCCUAAGGUAGCGAAAUUCCUUGUCGGGUAAGUUCCGACCUGCACGAAUGGCGUAAUGAUGGCCAGGCUGUCUCCACCCGAGACUCAGUGAAAUUGAACUCGCUGUGAAGAUGCAGUGUACCCGCGGCAAGACGGAAAGACCCCGUGAACCUUUACUAUAGCUUGACACUGAACAUUGAGCCUUGAUGUGUAGGAUAGGUGGGAGGCUUGGAAGUGUGGACGCCAGUCUGCAUGGAGCCGACCUUGAAAUACCACCCUUUAAUGUUUGAUGUUCUAACGUUGACCCGUAAUCCGGGUUGCGGACAGUGUCUGGUGGGUAGUUUGACUGGGGCGGUCUCCUCCUAAAGAGUAACGGAGGAGCACGAAGGUUGGCUAAUCCUGGUCGGACAUCAGGAGGUUAGUGCAAUGGCAUAAGCCAGCUUGACUGCGAGCGUGACGGCGCGAGCAGGUGCGAAAGCAGGUCAUAGUGAUCCGGUGGUUCUGAAUGGAAGGGCCAUCGCUCAACGGAUAAAAGGUACUCCGGGGAUAACAGGCUGAUACCGCCCAAGAGUUCAUAUCGACGGCGGUGUUUGGCACCUCGAUGUCGGCUCAUCACAUCCUGGGGCUGAAGUAGGUCCCAAGGGUAUGGCUGUUCGCCAUUUAAAGUGGUACGCGAGCUGGGUUUAGAACGUCGUGAGACAGUUCGGUCCCUAUCUGCCGUGGGCGCUGGAGAACUGAGGGGGGCUGCUCCUAGUACGAGAGGACCGGAGUGGACGCAUCACUGGUGUUCGGGUUGUCAUGCCAAUGGCACUGCCCGGUAGCUAAAUGCGGAAGAGAUAAGUGCUGAAAGCAUCUAAGCACGAAACUUGCCCCGAGAUGAGUUCUCCCUGACUCCUUGAGAGUCCUGAAGGAACGUUGAAGACGACGACGUUGAUAGGCCGGGUGUGUAAGCGCAGCGAUGCGUUGAGCUAACCGGUACUAAUGAACCGUGAGGCUUAACCUUACAACGCCGAAGCUGUU